UAUGAACCCGGUUUAUAACUGAUUCGAUUAUUUUACAACCUACUAUUAAAUCCUAAAUUAAUUAAUUUAAGUUUACGGCAUUUCAGUCUCCCUGAUUUAUGCUGCAUGUUAUUUGGGGAAAAUUUAAAUGGAUAUUUAUUUUUUGACAACCACACACAAACACUAAAUCAGUAAAUAAAAUUGAGGGUUAUCAAAUUAAGAACCAAAAUUCUCUAAAAAGAAUAAACCGCUGCCAUGUAGUUUAGGUUUAAUUUUACUACCUAAAUUUAUUUCAUACUUGGAUUCUAUCCCAGUUUUGUCAGUAGAUUUGAGCAUUUUAACCCUUUUUCUAGUGUCUUAGAACUGAGAGGGAAAGAGGGUUUAGGUUAGUCAGUUAAAUAAAGUUUUGUUUUAAAGUA
rnacentral:rRNA from 1 species